rnacentral:rRNA from 1 species
CGGUAGCUGGUCUGAGAGGAUGAUCAGCCACACUGGGACUGAGACACGGCCCAGACUCCUACGGGAGGCAGCAGUGGGGAAUAUUGGACAAUGGGCGAAAGCCUGAUCCAGCAAUGCCGCGUGGGGUGAAGACGGCCUGCGGGUUGUAAAGCCCUUUAGGUGGGGAGGAAAGGCGGGACGUGAACAGCGUUUCGCACUGACGUUACCCACGGAAUAAGCACCGGCUAACUCCGUGCCAGCAGCCGCGGUAAUACGGAGGGUGCGAGCGUUAAUCGGAAUUACUGGGCGUAAAGCGUGCGUAGGCGGUUUGGUCAGUCAGCCGUGAAAGCCCCGGGCUUAACCUGGGAACGGCGGUUGAGACGGCCAGACUUGAGUGGGCUAGAGGAUCGUGGAAUUCCCGGUGUAGCAGUGAAAUGCGUAGAGAUCGGGAG